rnacentral:rRNA from 1 species
AGUGAACGCUGGCGGUAUGCCUAACACAUGCAAGUCGAACGGCAGCACAGUAAGAGCUUGCUCUUACGGGUGGCGAGUGGCGGACGGGUGAGGAAUACAUCGGAAUCUACUUUUUCGUGGGUUAUAACGUAGGGAAACUUACUCUAAUACCUCAUACGACCUACUGGUGAAAGCAGGGGAUCUUCGGACCUUGCUCUAUUGAAUGAGCCGAUGUCGGAUUAGCUAGUUGGCGGGGUAAAGGCCCACCAAGGCGACGAUCCGUAGCUGGUCUGAGAGGAUGAUCAGCCACACUGGAACUGAGACACGGUCCAGACUCCUACGGGAGGCAGCAGUGGGGAAUAUUGGACAAUGGGCGCAAGCCUGAUCCAGACAUACCGCGUGGGUGAAGAAGGCCUUCGGGUUGUAAAGCCCUUUUGUUGGGAAAGAAAAGCAGCAGGUUAAUACCGCGCUGUUCUGACGGUACCCAAAGAAUAAGCACCGGCUAACUUCGUG